CGAUCAUGGCUCAGGAUGAACGCUAGCUACAGGCUUAACACAUGCAAGUCGAGGGGCAGCAUGUUGGUUGCUUGCAACCAACGAUGGCGACCGGCGCACGGGUGAGUAACGCGUAUCCAACCUGCCCUUGUCCAUCGGAUAACCCGUCGAAAGGCGGACUAACACGAUAUGCAGUUCUCCGCAGGCAUCUAACGAGAACGAAAUGUGAAGGAGAAGGAUGGGGAUGCGU
rnacentral:rRNA from 1 species